AUGCUCAGCCAAGGACGUCGCCGUCACCCUCAGCUCCUCCUCCACCACCUUGCCUUUUUCUCCUCCUCGCCUUCCCAUCGCUCACGUGCAUGUCGCUGCUGUCGGAGAACAGGACAGUGUGGGUCGCUUCCUCCUUUUCCUCUCGCUGGAUCUAAGGCAUGCGGCCAUGGAGGCGAGCCUCUCCGGUGGCGGCGGCAAAGGGUGACCACAUGGAUCGGUCCCUGUAGGAGAGAGAAGAUGGGAGAGAGGGAGAGAAGGAAGGAGAGGAGGGAGGCCCGACGGCGGACGGGAGAGGGUCACCGACCAGCGCCGGCGAGGUCAGCUGCGACCUGGUGGUUGGUGGUGGCUUGA
rnacentral:rRNA from 1 species